CUCUGUGAUGAAACCUGUGAAUAGGAAGUGCCGUCUUAUGCGAUAACUGACGAUUUAUUUCACAAUUAAUCUGAGA